rnacentral:rRNA from 1 species
GACGAACGCUGGCGGCGUGCUUAACACAUGCAAGUCGAACGGAAAGGCCCUGCUUUUGUGGGGUGCUCGAGUGGCGAACGGGUGAGUAACACGUGAGUAACCUGCCCUUGACUUUGGGAUAACUUCAGGAAACUGGGGCUAAUACCGGAUAGGAGCUCCUGCUGCAUGGUGGGGGUUGGAAAGUUUCGGCGGUUGGGGAUGGACUCGCGGCUUAUCAGCCUGUUGGUGGGGUAGUGGCUUACCAAGGCUUUGACGGGUAGCCGGCCUGAGAGGGUGACCGGCCACAUUGGGACUGAGAUACGGCCCAGACUCCUACGGGAGGCAGCAGUGGGGAAUAUUGCACAAUGGGCGGAAGCCUGAUGCAGCAACGCCGCGUGCGGGAUGACGGCCUUCGGGUUGUAAACCGCUUUCGCCUGUGACGAAGCGUGAGUGACGGUAAUGGGUAAAGAAGCACCGGCUAACUACGU